rnacentral:rRNA from 1 species
UACAGAGGUCUCAAGCGUUGUUCGGAUUCAUUGGGCGUAAAGGGUGCGUAGGUGGCGGGGUAAGUCAGGUGUGAAAUCUCGGGGCUCAACCCCCGAAACUGCACUUGAUACUGCCUUGCUCGAGUACUGGAGAGGAGAUUGGAAUUUACGGUGUAGCAGUGAAAUGCGUAGAUAUCGUAAGGAAGACCAGUGGCGAAGGCGAAUCUCUGGACAGUUACUGACACUGAAGGCA